GCUGGGUGUGGUGGCACACACCUGUAAUCCCAGUGGAUCAGGAGGCUGAGACAGGAGGAUCAUGAGUUUAAAGCCAGCCUCAGCAACUUAGUGAGACUCUGUCUCAA
rnacentral:sRNA from 1 species